rnacentral:piRNA from 1 species
UCGUAACUUACUAUUCAUUUU